AUUGAAUUCGAGUUGGAAGAGGCGAGUCCGGUCUCAAAAUGGAGGGCCAUGAUGCAAAGGAACCAGAGCAGUUGAGAAAACUGUUUAUUGGUGGUUUGAGCUUUGAAACUACAGAUGAUAGUUUAAGAGAACAUUUUGAAAAAUGGGGUACACUUACAGAUUGUGUGGUGAUGAGAGACCCCCAAACAAAACGUUCCAGGGGUUUUGGUUUUGUAACUUACUCUUGUGUUGAAGAGGUGGAUGCAGCAAUGUGUGCCCAACCACACAAGGUUGAUGGGUGUGUAGUGGAACCAAAGAGAGCUGUUUGUAGAGAGGAUUCUGUAAAGCCUGGUGCCCAUCUAACGGUGAAGAAAAUUUUUGUUGGUGGUAUUAAAGAAGAUACAGAAGAAUAUAAUUUGAGAGACUACUUUGAAAAGUAUGGCAAGAUUGAAACCAUAGAAGUUAUGGAAGACAGGCAGAGUGGAAAAAAGAGACGAUUUGCUUUUGUAACUUUUGAUGAUCAUGAUACGUUUGAUAAACUUGUUGUUCAGAAAUACCACACUAUUAAUGGGCAUAAUUGUGAAGUGAAAAAGACCCUUUCUAAACAAGAAAUGCAGUCUGCUAGAUCACAAAGAGGUCGUGGAGGUGGAUCUGGCAACUUCAUGGGUCGUGGAGGAAACUUUGGAGGUGGUGGUAACUUUGGCCAUGGUGGAAACUUCGGUGGAAGAGGAGGCUGUGGUGGUGGAGGUGGUGGCAGCAGAGGUAGUUAUGGAGGAGGUGAUGGUGGAUAUAAUGGAUGUGGAGGUGAUGGUGGCAACUAUAAUGGUGGUCCCGGUUAUAGCAGUAGAGAAGGCUAUGGUGGUGGUGGACCAGGAUAUGGAAACCAAGGAGGCGGAUAUGGAGGUGGUGGUGGAGGAUAUGACGGUUACAAUGAAGGAGGAAAUUUUGGGGGUGGUAACUAUGGGGGUGGUGGGAACUCUAAUGAUUUUGGAAAUUAUGGUGGACAACAGCAAUCAAAUUAUGGACCCAUGAAGGGGGGCAGUUUUGGUGGAAGGAGCUCAGGCAGUCCCUACGGUGGUGGCUAUGGGUCUGGUGGUGGAAGUGGUGGAUAUGGUAGCAGAAGGUUCUAA